CCUACGGGAGGCAGCAGUAGGGAAUCUUUCACAAUGGGCGAAAGCCUGAUGGAGCAACGCCGCGUGCAGGAUGAAGGCCUUCGGGUUGUAAACUGCUUUUAUAAGCGAGAAAUAUGAUGGUAACUUAUGAAUAAGGAUCGGCUAACUACGUGCCAGCAGCCGCGGUCAUACGUAGGAUCCGAGCAUUAUCCGGAGUGACUGGGUGUAAAGAGUUGCGUAGGUGGGCUAAUAAGUAGCUAGUGAAAUCUGGUGGCUCAACCAUUCAGACUAUUAGCUAAACUGUUAAGCUCGAGACCGUUAGGGGUAACUGGAAUUUCUAGUGUAGGAGUGAAAUCCGUAGAUAUUAGAAGGAACACCAAUAGCGUAGGCAGGUUGCUGGGACGGUUCUGACACUAAGGCACGAAAGCGUAGGGAGCAAACGGGAUUAGAUACCCGGGUAGUC
rnacentral:rRNA from 1 species